CUUCUCUAGCUAGCUCACUUCUCUCCACCAUGCAUGAAGGAUCUCAUGGCCUUUGUUUCUUCUUCUUCUUCUUCAUCCACCUCUUGUCGAGGGAAGUGAGGACUCUUUUAGGCGUUCAAAGGGAGAGAUGUUUUGAGGAAGGGUAUGGAACAAUCCUUGAAGCUCAGGAGGGAUAGCGCCUCGAAAUCAAACUAGGCGCUAUCUAUCCUGAGCUCCAUGGUUUGUUCUUACCACACGACCAAUUAAAUCUGCAGUCUCCACGCACACCUCUGAAGUUUUCAUUGCUUGCCACAGUUCAGUACCGAAAGGUGAGCUAUUUGCAUAUAGCUGUCUGUUCUACUCUGUCCAUGAGAUGGGCAUGCACUCUAUAGCUAGCUUAGCUUGAUUACCUCUUUGCUUUUCUUGCACCUGGUCAUGCCAUGGUGCUAACUAUAGCUUUUGCUUCUUCUGACUUCUCUUGGUUAGUUUACUGUAUACUCCAUGCAUCUAUGUGCAUGAAACCAUGCAUGUAUAAAUGUAUUCAUUCAUGAACCAGCAUGCAUGCAUGUCGUUGAUUGAUAGGUUAUGGGCAUGGCCUUAACUUGCUACCCUACAAGAACGAAGUAAAUGCUGACCUAACCAAUUCAUGAGCA
rnacentral:sRNA from 1 species